rnacentral:lncRNA from 1 species
CUGGAUCCGACUACACGACCCGUGAGGAAUCACAGGUGCAAAAGAAGAUGCAAGGUACCAGUGGUACCGUACCAACUAUGAUUCUUAUGACAGAACCACUUAUGGGGACGUUUAUGGCAGCACCAAAGAACUGGGUUUCUCGCGAAGGGGAAAAAUUCACUCUGACAUGGACCACCGAAAACGGAUUCCAGCCAAGAGGCGACCACUUGCCCGUUGCUCCCGUCCACGUUUACGAGCUCCCAGUUACCCCUACCCUCCCUUACCACCGCAGAGGGGCAGGUAGCAAAACCUACAAUACCUUUUUAUUAGAUUGUUUAUGAAUUUUUCGUGUUUUAUUUAUCUUAAGCUACCAUGAUCCCUGACAAAGUUUGAUUAAUUAAAUUAAAAUUCUCAAAAAUUCGUUGGAGUUCUAUUUUCUGUUACAAACGAUCCUCUUGGCAAUUUAGCUUAUUUGGACAGUGGAGAUAGCCGCUACAUCAUACCCAAAUCAUGCAUACUACCUACAUCAUACCAUUUAUGAUUAUGAAAUCUUAUGAUUCAUGUUUUUGUCUGUUGAAUAACUUGAAUUUUUUCACAAUUUUAGUGUAACCACCUUUUUCAUAUUCAUGCAACCUUGCCCACUCCCCCUCCUAUUGAUAUCAUUCAAAAUGGACGCUGACUUGUUGACAGUGCGUUAAUUAACUUGUGACGGUGUGAUUGUUUCGAGAGUUAUUCACUGCAUUUUGGUGUUUUUGACUAACUGAAUCGCUGUAAAACAGAGCAGCAAGCAGAGCAACGUUGUUUAACAAAGACCUUCCUGGUUCACCCAUCGUGUCAUUUGACAAUUUCACAAUUGUUUUGUGGUUUCUGAUACGAGGUCAUUGGGCCUAUGACUCCGACUCCAGGUUUUAACUGAACGAAAAAUUCUAGGAAACCGACUGAAACUGAAUCCGUAAAUCGUCAAUUCUUUGAACUCGCUAGGAAAGUUACGU